rnacentral:rRNA from 1 species
UACGUAGGGGGCAAGCGUUGUCCGGAAUCAUUGGGCGUAAAGAGCGUGUAGGCGGCCAGAUAAGUCCGCUGUGAAAUCUCGAGGCUCAACUUCGAGCUGUCGGUGGAAACUGUCUGGCUAGAGUCCGGAAGAGGAGAAUGGAAUUCCUGGUGUAGCGGUGAAAUGCGCAGAUAUCAGGAAGAACACCAGUGGCGAAGGCGACUCACUGGACACAUAUUGACGCUGAGGUGCGAAAGCGUGGGGAGCAAACAGG